GUUAAAUUCACAGUAGUCUUAAGGGUUUGUUAUUUAAGAUCAAAGACGUCAAGAACACACUAAAAAGAGCUUUACCUCAUGAAUUUAACGUAAGAUAUGACAUUUAACACACUACAUUUUCCUCUCAUUUAAAUAGCAAGCAAAAAUCAAAUACGCCUUAAAGACUUAAUGAAAAGGGAGGAAGAGGUAAUGGUAGUUAGCGGUAGUUCUCUUGUUUAGCCUUCUCCCCCCUCCUCCUGCCCUUCUGCCUGACCCUCCCCCCCCCCGGCCUGAAGGUAGGGGCAGGGCAGGGAGAGGAACACCUGCUUGGAGCCACGCCCAAGAGCCAGUAGGGAAGAGGAAUGUGUGGAGGGAGGAUGUGUCUGCGUCUUCUUGAGGUCCAUUAUUUGGCGCUGGAGUUAUUUACAGAUACGAAUGCUGUUUGGAAUGGCGAGUACAAAGUGGCGAAGACACCCCACGACACAGUAGAUACUUAGUUGCCAGAGCUGAAUCUUAAAGGCUAGAGUGCUACAAAAAUAGAGGCAAGUAUGUACAAUAUGUUGAACUAGAGUUGUAGAUCACAGUCCACAGGGGUGAGUUUGACACAAGCUGCUCAAGCCGAGGUACAAAAUGACUACCUAGUGUUGGUGAUAGUGAGGGAGGUGGACCAAACUGUAUGCAUCUGCUCAAUUAGUACUCACAAAUAAUUAAGGUGAAAACUGAAAAAUGAAAAUAUAAGAGGCUAAGUACAACAAUCUGGCAACGAUGAGUAAGGGAUAUUGACGAAAUCGUAGCGCUCGGUUUAAUUAGAACAUCCAAAAAGAACAAGAAAAAAGGGAGAUUGCAGAGAUAUAUAACCCUAAUGUUGAAUUUCUAUGCGGAGUUCAAACAGUACAUCCAAAAACUAAAGAAAAACAGUAACUAAGAUAUAAGAAUUAGUUGAAUUCAAGUUGAUAAAGUCCUUUUUUCGAACCUUAAUUUUUCAUACCUCAACUCAAUUUUUCAGAGUAGAUUGUUUCCUUACAUUAUGAGUACUAAUUAAGUUGAUGCAUGUAAUUUGAUGAACACACCCUAUGCUGAAGAAAAGGAUGGGGGGAGGGGGCAAGCAGGAGAGCCACAUACAAUCUCACACACAUACACACACACAUCGAGGAGAAAUUACCGAGACUGGGAUUCUAACAUACACACACACAGGCAGGAUGAAAGACGGGAAGAGGUAGAGAUGAUUAAGACACGUACAACACAUCAAAGAAUACGCUAGGUGCAAAUUAUACCGCACAUAUAUUCGCUAGAUGAAAGACAAGUAAAGGUGGAGAUGAUUAAGAUGAAAUGAAGGAAAAUGUGUGUAUGAGUAAGAGGGGGUAGGAAUGGGAAGAGGUGGAGAUGACGAAGAUAAAAUGAAUGAGCAUGGAUAGCAGGAUGUGACAGGGUAAUGUAUGAAUGAAGUGUGAAAGGGAUGAGAACAGGAGAGGAGGAAAGAAAAAAAACAGACACAGCAGGAAAGUUUAUCCACAUAGGAGGAAGGGAAGGAAUACUGAAGGAAUGAAUGACAGGAAAAAGUGAAGAUGAUUGACAAAACGAAUUAAUAGAUAGUGAAACGUAUGUCCAUGAGAUAUGAAGGGGAUGAGAAGGGGUAGGAA